UACGUAGGGGGCAAGCGUUGUCCGGAUUCAUUGGGCGUAAAGAGCGUGUAGGCGGCCAGGUAGGUCGGUUGUGAAAACUGGAGGCUCAACCUUCAGAGGUCGACCGAAACCAUCUUGCUAGAGUCCGGGAGAGGAGAGUGGAAUUCCUGGUGUAGCGGUGAAAUGCGCAGAUAUCAGGAAGAACACCUAUGGCGAAGGCAGCUCUCUGGGACGGUACUGACGCUGAGACGCGAAAGCGUGGGGAGCGAACAGG
rnacentral:rRNA from 1 species